UUUUCUGUUGGAUUCUAAAGAUGUAAGAGUAAGAUAUUGCAGCAUAUUUCACUUUCUAGGUUUUUACCUGAACUUGAGCCUCCAGCUGUAUUUUUUUAAUGUUACUGUAUGGGAACUGCUGAAUCAUGGCCUGAACCUCUGAUUGACCACCUGAAGCGAGCAAUGAGUCAGCCCUUGGAGCACAGGUGAAGGCAAUUCUCCUGCCCUACUGGAAGGGUGCAGCAUGGUUCCACCUCUCCUAAACCCCAUUUAAGAGCUGACUGCCUGUGGGGGAGGAUCUCUUUUGGAGAUGGUGUCUCUUGGAUUCUUCUCAGUGAGCCUAGGACAAGAGUUCAAAUCCUAACUUGCAAUUCUGGUACCUGCAAAUGUGGUUUUCUUUUGGAGAAGAUGUGUGUGUUUGAGGAUUUUUUUGAUACAACAAAUGCUGUUUAACUUUUAUGAGCAUCUGUCUGGCGUGUACACGUUAAAUCCUGGAGCUUUUUCUCCGUGCCAUGUCAGGAGAGGUUGCAUGGUGAGGCUGUCUGCUGGGGAGAGGAACAGGGGA